rnacentral:rRNA from 1 species
CCUACGGGGGGCAGCAGUGGGGAAUAUUGGACAAUGGGGGGAACCCUGAUCCAGCGACGCCGCGUGAGUGAAGAAGUAUUUCGGUAUGUAAAGCUCUAUCAGCAGGGAAGAAAGAAAUGACGGUACCUGACUAAGAAGCCCCGGCUAACUACGUGCCAGCAGCCGCGGUAAUACGUAGGGGGCAAGCGUUAUCCGGAUUUACUGGGUGUAAAGGGAGCGUAGACGGCGAUGCAAGUCUGAAGUGAAAGGCGGGGGCCCAACCCCCGGACUGCUUUGGAAACUGUAUAGCUGGAGUGCAGGAGAGG